ensembl:lncRNA
GGGGAGGAGGAGGAGCAGUGGGAGGAAGAGGGGGAGGUGAUAUAGGAGGAGGGGGAAGGGGAGGGUAUAAUCACUGGACGACCCAGCAGAGACCUAGAACCACAGAGAGAGAGAGACAGGGGUUGGGGGAAAGAGAGAGUGUGUGUGUCUGCGCCUACAUGUGUGUUUGUGCAUGUGUGUCUGUGCAUAUGCGUGCGGGCGUGUGUGUGUGUGCGUGUCUGUGCGUAUGCAUGUAUGUGUGUGUGUAUCGUCGUAUGCAUGUCUGUGUGCGUGGGUGUGUGAACACUGAUGAUAAGAGAGUAUAGGGGGAGAGGGGACAGAUUGAUUUAUGGAUUAAACUCCGUCAGGGUUUGGGAUCAAAACUCAAGAAAGGGAGAGUGAUUUAGACAGAGUGAGAAGUUGUGAGGGAGUGAGAGACGGAGGAAGGUUAUGGGAGUGAAGUAGACCGCCUCAGAGCACAGGAUUCAAAGAGUGAGUGGUGCCCAGGUGUGGGGGGCAUCUGGAUGGACAGAGCAGCGUGUGGAUUAGCACCCCGUCCCAGGAUUACCACUGAGCCUGCCGGCUGAUUUGGCGACGGGGAACCAGAUUAAACUCUGAUGAAGUCGCCCUCCCGAAGAUCCGUCGGUGCUGGGGUAUGGAUGGUUACCGUGGUAACCACCAUGGUGAAGAUGAUGAUGUCAUAGUUGUAGCGAUGGCGAUGAUGAAGACGAUUGCCGUCACAAUGCUUGAGAACAUGUCCCGGCGUGGGCGGUCCCUGGUGUCUCUGUCUCUCACCUCAUUGGCCCUCACGCUGUCCGUCAUGGCCUUCUGCACCUCCUAUUGGUGCGAGGGGACGCACAAGGUGGUCAAGCCCCUCUGCCUGUCCCCUGUCAAGAUGAAGAACUGUGGACAGAACAUCAGCCAGCCCUACACCACAG